rnacentral:rRNA from 1 species
CAAUAGCGUAUAUUAAAGUUGUUGCAGUUAAAAAGCUCGUAGUUGAAUUUUUGCUUGCCGCCGAUGUCGGAACUUCCGUACGUUCGGCGGCGUGCAUCCUUGGGUGGAACCUGUGUGGCAUUAGGUUGUCGUGCAGGGGAUGCUCAUCGUUUACUGUGAAAAAAUUAGAGUGUUCAAAGCAGGCUUAUGCCGUUGAAUAUAUUAGCAUGGAAUAAUAAGAUAGGACCUUGGUACUAUUUUGUUGGUUUGCGCACCGAGGUAAUGAUUAACAGGGACAGUUGGGGGUAUUCGUAUUCCAUUGUCAGAGGUGAAAUUCUUGGAUUUAUGAAAGACGAACUUCUGCGAAAGCAUUUACCAAAGAUGUUUUCAUUAA